rnacentral:rRNA from 1 species
UACGGGGGGGGCAAGCGUUGUUCGGAAUUACUGGGCGUAAAGGGCGCGUAGGCGGCCUUCUAAGUCGGACGUGAAAUCCCUCGGCUUAACCGAGGAACUGCGUCUGAUACUGGAAGGCUUGAAUCCGGGAGAGGGAUGUGGAAUUCCAGGUGUAGCGGUGAAAUGCGUAGAUAUCUGGAGGAACACCGGUGGCGAAGGCGGCGAUCUGGACGAUGACUGACGCUGAGACGCGAAAGCGUGGGGAGCAAACAGG